CCGAGCGCACUCUGGACGGCGUCGACGUGGCAGCACCGAGCCGAGGCUUCACCUCCUCCCAGCUGCAUUUCCACACAUCAUUUUCCACCUCUAAGCCGAAGAAACCGAGAGGGAGAGCUCCAGCUCUCCUCUUCCAUCUCUUCGUUGCCGGCCGCCAAGAAGAAGGACGCCGCAACCCGUCGUCGAGACAUUGUCAUCACCAACUCUUUCUCGUUCCGUAUUCCUCACUUCAUGCCUACCACUUUACCCUUUGACGGAAACGUCGCCGUGCCCACGGGUGUUCCAGUGCGUGCACCGGGCGCCGCCGCAGCGACAUCGUCGCCGUUGCCGUCGAUUUAGACCAAGCCGGAGCGAGCCACCACGCCACCAGCUUCGCGUCGUCGUCCUCUCCAUUUCCCCUCAAAAAUCCUGAAGAAUGGCGCAUCGAGGAAGGAGAUCGGCCGUCGUCCUCCUCAACACCGGUCACCGUCGCCAUUUGCCGAAUCCAUCUUCUCCGAUCUUGGAGUAGUUUGAGCUGUCGCCGUCAACCCGAAGGAGUUUGCCGCCGCCGGACCUGUUCGCGAGCUAUUACGGACGACCAAGCUUCGCCAACCUUGUCUAGCAUCUCGAUGAUUGCUUAACCGAUGAAGAAGUGAUUUAGGUGCUAACAUUUUCCAGUUGCAAGGCAAGUCCCACCUCCCUCUCUUUGAUCACUUUGAACCUAUGUUUUGGUGGUUAUUAAAAAUGUUUGCAAAUCUUGCAUGUCAAUUGUAUACUAAUAAAUUAAAAUUUUGUUAAACUUGUUAGACAAACUCCUAUUAUUUUCAUUAUCUCCUUAACCCCACAUAUAUCCAUAUCCUCAUUCCUAACCUUAGGAAUCAUAUCCUAAUACUACUUGGAAUAUGAGUUACAUUGUCACUAGUUGACUAUACUGCUUAGCCAUGCUUAGAAUGGUUUUACUUAUCACUUGGGCUCAUAUUAACAUGAAAAAUGAUUUUAUUAAGAUUCUGGACAGGGAUGAAUAAAUGAAGUAUUUGACAAAUAAAAUGAUGGAAAACAUGGAUUUUAGGUUUGGGCCUCAAGUGGUGCACAUAUGGUAAUUAGUUGUGUACCGAUAGGGGGAGAGUGUGCCUAAACCGAUCUAAGGAUUUCACUCAAUGUCUGUUCAUUAUAUUUACCGUACAUCCACAUGUGUUUUUAUGGGGAACCUUGGCCUAUUAAGUUAAGCACUUGUCUGACCUUGCGUUCGGGAGGCCGUUCUAGUAUAGGUAGAGGCCAUCAGUGUACUGUGGGCUACCUAAAGGAACUACCCAUGUGUGUGUUGAAUCUUAGGACGAGUGUACUGUUCCUAAGCGUGUGAUCGUAGGAUGAUAAAUUCCAUACAUGUGUGAUUUCCGUGAGGGGACGAGUGUACUGUUCCGCCUCACGGCAUGGGCGUCUAAGUCUAUCCAAUACAACGAUAUUGUGCCACGUGGUGGGUUCCCGUUGUAUCCGUCACCACGGCGUUAAGUUUAAGGCAUGGGCCCGCCACUUAACGGUUCUAGAUCAUAUAUCAAGUAUGGUCUAGGAUGGAGGAACACGUAUCGUGCUCAUGCAAGGUUAGACAAUACUUAAUGUAAAAGCCUCAUUGUGACCUCUAGACCGUACUCAAUGUGUAGAGUAUGGUGGUACUGACGGGUACCGGACGAACUAGAGCGAUUCACAUCAUGUGGGUAAAGCUGUACAAACUCUGUAGAGUCUAAAAACUAAUCGAUUAGCCGUGCUCGCGUUUAUGAUCGGCAUGUGGAUAUGUGUUGAGUAUAGACUUGUGUUUAUUCUUCUAAAUGCUGAAUUUACCUUCAAAUUAUGUUGAGAUUUGAGAAUGAUCUCCUUGCUGCCAUGGAUGGCAAUUAGGUGAAUAAUUAUACAUGAUAAAUGCCUACUUUGAUGCCCAUAUGCUAAGUACUAGCUUGCUGAAAUUUAUUUGAAAUCAAAUCUGAUUUGAAUGUGUUUUAUGCAAAUAAAACUUGCUUUAUGCUAAAAAGAACCAUAUUAUGCCUUUCUUGAUUAUAUGCCUUGCAAGUAGGGUGUUAGGCUUGUCUUGGUGCUUGUCAGUA